rnacentral:rRNA from 1 species
CCUACGGGAGGCAGCAGUAGGGAAUUUUCCGCAAUGGGCGAAAGCCUGACGGAGCAAUACCGCGUGAGGGAUGACGGCCUGUGGGUUGUAAACCUCUUUUCUCAAGGAAGAAGUUCUGACGGUACUUGAGGAAUAAGCAUCGGCUAACUCUGUGCCAGCAGCCGCGGUAAUACAGAGGAUGCAAGCGUUAUCCGGAAUCACUGGGCAUAAAGCGUCUGUAGGUUGUUUAGUAAGUCUGCUGUUAAAGACUGGGGCUUAACCCCAGAAAAGCAGUGGAAACUGCUAGACUCGAGUGUGGUAGAGGUAGAGGGAAUUCCUAGUGUAGCGGUGAAAUGCGUAGAUAUUAGGAAGAACACCAAUGGCGAAGGCACUCUACUGGGCCAUAACUGACACUGAGAGACGACAGCUAGGGGAGCAAACGGGAUUAGAUACCCCGGUAGUCCUAGCCGUAAACGAUGGAUACUAGAUGUUGCACGUAUUAACCCGUGCAGUAUCGUAGCUAAGGCGUUAAGUAUCCGCCUGGGAAGUACGCUCGCAAGAGUGAAACUCAAAGNGAAUGACGNGAGAGAGCGACGACGACGACGACGGAGGAGAG